rnacentral:rRNA from 1 species
UACAGAGGGUGCAAGCGUUGUUCGGAAUUAUUGGGCGUAAAGGGCGCGUAGGCGGUGCGGUAAGUCCGCAGUGAAAUCUCGGGGCUCAACCCCGAGCGGUCGUGGGAAACUGGUUGGCUAGAGUGCGGGAGAGGAGAGUGGAAUUCCUGGUGUAGCGGUGAAAUGCGCAGAUAUCAGGAAGAACACCCGUGGCGAAGGCGGCUCUCUGGAACGCAACUGACGCUGAGACGCGAAAGCGUGGGGAGCAAACAGG